CAGCAGCCGCGGGAAUACGUAGGGUGCGAGCGUUAAUCGGAAUUACUGGGCGUAAAGCGUGCGCAGGCGGUUUUGUAAGACAGGCGUGAAAUCCCCGGGCUCAACCUGGGAAUGGCGCUUGUGACUGCAAAGCUAGAGUGCGGCAGAGGGGGAUGGAAUUCCGCGUGUAGCAGUGAAAUGCGUAGAUAUGCGGAGGAACACAGAUGGCGAAGGCAAUCCCCUGGGCCUGCACUGACGCUCAUGCACGAAAGCGUGGGGAGCAAACAGGAUUAGAUACCCGAGUAGUCCCUGUCUCUUAUAC
rnacentral:rRNA from 1 species